GGAAUCUUCCACAAUGGGCGCAAGCCUGAUGGAGCAACGCCGCGUGAGUGAAGAAGGUUUUCGGAUCGUAAAACUCUGUUGUUGGAGAAGAACACAUUUGAGAGUAACUGUUCAGAUGUUGACGGUAUCCAACCAGAAAGCCACGGCUAACUACGUGCCAGCAGCCGCGGUAAUACGUAGGUGGCAAGCGUUGUCCGGGUUUAUUGGGCGUAAAGCGAGCGCAGGCGGUUUUUUAAGUCUGAUGGGAAAGCCUUCGGCUUAACCGAAGAAGUGCAUUAGAAACUGGGAAACUUGAGUGCAGAAGAGGACAGUGGAACUCCAUGUGUAGCGGUGAAAUGCGUAGAUAUAUGGAAGAACACCAGUGGCGAAGGCGGCUGUCUGGUCUGUAACUGACGCUGAGGCUCGAAAGUAUGGGGAGCGAACA
rnacentral:rRNA from 1 species